AUUAUUUUGGCAGAUUAGUGCGUUAGAUUUAGAAUCUUUAAAUGUAAAUUAUAUUACAAAUAAUACUUGUUAUU
rnacentral:tRNA from 1 species